UACGGAGGUCUCGAGCGUUAGGCGGAAUCACUGGGCUUAAAGCGUGUGUAGGCGGAUCGGUAAGUACCUUGUGAAAUCCCACAGCUUAACUGUGGAACUGCUUGGUAUACUGCCAGUCUUGAGCCAGCUAGGGGCUACCGGAACAAAUGGUGGAGCGGUGAAAUGCGUAGAUAUCAUUUGGAACGCCAAUGGUGAAAACAGGUAGCUGGGGCUGUGCUGACGCUGAGACACGAAAGCCAGGGGAGCAAACGGG
rnacentral:rRNA from 1 species